CCCUUAGAUGUCCUGGGCCGCACGCGUGCUAAACUGACGCCUACAGCGAGUACUUCCCAGCCCCGAGAGGUGGCUGGUAAUCAGCAAUAGGCGUCGUGAUGGGGAUAGAUCUUUGGAAUUAUGGAUCUUGAACGAGGAAUGCCUAGUAAGCGCAGGUCAUUAGCCUGCGCUGAUUAAGUCCCUGCCCUUUGUACACACCGCCCGUCGCUCCUACCGAUUUCGAGUGGUCCGGUGAAUCUUUCGGACUGCGCGCGGCCUCGUGCCGUGUCGCGGAAAGUCAGGUAAACCUUAUCACUUAGAGGAAGGAGAAGUCGUAACA
rnacentral:rRNA from 1 species